UAAUUGGAGAGUUUGAUCAUGGCUCAGAGCGAACGCUAGCGGCGCGCCUAACACAUGCAAGUCGAGCGAGAAAGCGGGGGCAACCCUGUUAGUAGAGCGGCGCACGGGUGAGUAACGCGUGGGUAAUCUACCCUUAAGACUGGAAUAACCCGCCGAAAGGCGGGCUAAUACCGGAUAAGACCACGGGACGAAAGUCCUGAGGUUAAAGGCGGGUACUUCGGUAUCUGUCACUAAAGGAUGAGCCCGCGUCCCAUCAGCUUGUUGGUGAGGUAAUGGCUCACCAAGGCUAAGACGGGUAGCUGGUCUGAGAGGACGAUCAGCCACACUGGCACUGAAACACGGGCCAGACUCCUACGGGAGGCAGCAGUGGGGAAUUUUGCGCAAUGGGCGAAAGCCUGACGCAGCGACGCCGCGUGAGGGAAGAAGGUUCUCGGAUCGUAAACCUCUGUCGGGGGGGAAGAAACUUCUGGUGGCUAAUACCCAUCAGGAUUGACGGUACCCCUUAAGGAAGCAUCGGCUAACUACGUGCCAGCAGCCGCGGUAAUACGUAGGAUGCAAGCGUUGCUCGGAAUUAUUGGGUGUAAAGGGCGCGUAGGUGGCCUGAUAAGUCAUGGGUGAAAGCCCUCGGCUCAACCGAGGAAUUGCCUAUGAUACUGUCGGGCUUGAGUAUGGGAGAGGGAAGUGGAAUUCCUGGUGUAGCGG
rnacentral:ncRNA from 1 species